GACGAACGCUGGCGGCGUGCUUAACACAUGCAAGUCGAACGGAAAGGCCCUGCUUUUGUUGGGUGCUCGAGUGGCGAACGGGUGAGUAACACGUGAGUAACCUGCCCUUGACUUUGGGAUAACUUCAGGAAACUGGGGCUAAUACCGGAUAGGAGCUCCUGCUGCUUGGUGGGGGUUGGAAAGUUUCGGCGGUUGGGGAUGGACUCGCGGCUUAUCAGCUUGUUGGUGGGGUAGUGGCUUACCAAGGCGUUGACGGGUAGCCGGCCUGAGAGGGUGACCGGCCACAUUGGGACUGAGAUAGGGCCCAGACUCCUACGGGAGGCAGCAGUGGGGAAUAUUGCACAAUGGGCGGAAGCCGGAUGCAGCAACGCCGCGUGCGGGAUGACGGCCGUCGGGUUGGAAACCGCGUUCGCCUGUGAAGAAGAGUGAGUGACGGUAAUGGGUAAAGAAGCACCGGCUAACUACGUG
rnacentral:rRNA from 1 species